rnacentral:ncRNA from 1 species
UCACGGGAUAGGCUGGCCAGCCGACAAGCGAAACGCCUUUCUUCGCUUCCCGUGAAUUUUAUUCUGAAAGG